rnacentral:rRNA from 1 species
UCCGUAGGCGGUGUGGCAAGUCGGUAGUGAAAUCUCUCGGCUUAACUGAGAGGCUGCUGCCGGAACUGCCAUGCUCGAGUGCGAGAGAGGCGAGUGGAAUUGCGGGUGUAGCGGUGAAAUGCGUAGAUAUCCGCAGGAACAUCCGAGGCGAAAGCGGCUCGCUGGAUCGCAACUGACGCUGAGGGGCGAAAGCUAGGGGAGCAAACAGGAUUAGAUACCCUGGUAGUCCUAGCCCUAAACCAUCAGGACUUGGGGUUUGCCCUGUACGGGGCAAGUCCCGGAGCUAACGCGUUAAGUCCUGCGCCUGGGGAGUACGGUCGCAAGGCUGAA